ensembl:misc_RNA
CUGACAGCCCUGGGGAAUGGAGAUCUCUGUUCACCCACAGAACAAGUGCAGCACAGCCAGCAGUAGUGUGAGCUUUCCAGAGGGUCCCCAGAAGUGUCAGCUUUGAGAGGUGGGUGCCCAUCCACGGGGAGGAGACCACACCCUUUACUUCCAUGUAGGUCAACAGCUCUCAGUU